rnacentral:rRNA from 1 species
UACGUAGGGUGCGAGCGUUGUCCGGAAUUAUUGGGCGUAAAGAGCUCGUAGGCGGUGUGUCACGUCGGCCGUGAAAACCUGCAGCUUAACUGUGGGCGUGCGGUCGAUACGGGCAUCACUGGAGUUCGGCAGGGGAGACUGGAAUUCCUGGUGUAGCGGUGAAAUGCGUAGAUAUCGAGAGGAACACCUGCGGCGAAGGCGGGUUGCUGGGCUGACACUGACGCUGAUGCGCGAAAGCCAGGGGAGCGAACGGG